GAGGGGCAGCAUGGGAGUAGCAAUACUUCUGAUGGCGACCGGCGCACGGGUGCGUAACGCGUAUGCAACCUACCUGUAACAGGGGGAUAACACUGAGAAAUCGGUACUAAUACCGCAUAACACUAUGAGAGGCAUCUCUUGUGGUUGAAAGUUUCGGCGGUUACAGAUGGGCAUGCGUUGUAUUAGCUGGUUGGUAAGGUAACGGCUUACCAAGGCGACGAUACAUAGGGGGACUGAGAGGUUAACCCCCCACAUUGGUACUGAGACACGGACCAAACUCCUACGGGAGGCAGCAGUGAGGAAUAUUGGUCAAUGGACGGAAGUCUGAACCAGCCAUGCCGCGUGCAGGAAGACGGCUCUAUGAGUUGUAAACUGCUUUUGUACAAGGGUAAACCUGAAUACGUGUAUUCAGCUGAAAGUACUGUACGAAUAAGGAUCGGCUAACUCCG
rnacentral:rRNA from 1 species